CGCACAUUGCGCCCCUUGGUAUUCCAUGGGGCAUGCCUGUUCGAGCGUCAUUUGUACUCUCAAGCUUUGCUUGGUGUUGGGUGCUGUCUAGGCUACUAGACUCGCCUCAAAAGAAUUGGCAGCCAGUGUAUUGGUCUUGAGCGCAGCACAAUUUGCACUCUAACCAGCUACUUCUGGUACCCAACAAGCCUAUUACAAUUCGCUUGACCUCGGAUCAGGUAGGGAUACCCGCUGAACUUAA
rnacentral:misc_RNA from 1 species